CUCACUCCGCGCGGCGCCACCUCCAGCGCCGAACACAGUAGGCGGAGCGGACAGAUCUCGCGAGACGCCACGCGGUCGCAGCCCCGCCUUCCCGCCCAAACACAACACUGCCCCCGCGCGCAAGCCUACCAGCCAAUCGUUAACCUCUUCGCUGCCGAGCUCCCAAGCACGAGCCGUACCCUCCCACGGCCCUGUGCUCCUUCAGCAGCCAAUCAGAAGCCGUUUCACCUCAGAGCUUUGCCCGCCUUUUGUCAAGGAGCCUGUGAGGGCCGAGCCCGGGAAGAUUGGUUGCGUUCUAGCGCUGCUGCUCGGGCACUGAGAGAGCUCAGUUUAUUGUACUGGGCAUUUACACAGCAUCUUGUGUAUGACCAUGAAUCAGGAGAUACCCUUCAGUUAACUGCUCCCAGUAGGCUAAGGACUAACUCUUAGGCUGCUGGCAGAAUGAGCCCAGGUUUGCUGCUGCUGCCUGUCUGAGCUGUUGCUCACAACGCGGUUAUCGCUGCUCAACAGCUUUGGAAGGAGAAAAUCAUUUGCAGCCUCAAAACAAAAAAGACAGAGAUCAUUACAACAGCUUGACCACCUUUGCACAUCAGCACAGUAGACCAGUAUCAAGUUAAUGGCAUACCUGCUACCUCAUGCUGGAAGUUGACAACAUGAAUACUGUCAUUUAUAGCCACAAGAUGAAAACUGAAGGAAAAUAUUACUUCUACUGUCAAAGAGUGGCUACUGCUGGAAGUAAUUAUUCUUAGUUCUUAUUCUAUCUGAAAUCAACACAACAUAUUAUACACCAAAGGACUAAGAAAAAUCUUUGUGAUUGAAACUUCUGCACUGGUGGCACACAUCAACUGUUCUUGGAGACAGCACACCCAGCUGAUUGCUCGAGAACACUUGCUACCAUACCUUCAUGCCAAAUUUUGUUCCCUGUAUGGCAUGCCUGAACAUGGACACCUCCUCCUAAGAACAACCAGACAGCAGCCACAGGCUUAUUCAGUUCCUAAAUAACUUGAUAGUCUACAUUAUUUUUUUUCCCCUACAGUUGUGGAGAAUACUCCAGAGGUACAUUUCCUACAGAUACUAGCAAAGCUGAGGGGCAAAAUAUUUUCAGCAUUAACUGCUCUACAUUAAUGUAGGCAAAUAGCAUACUCCUGCCCCUCGGGGGAAAAAAGAACCAAAUUGCUCUAUAAAAAUAAAAUUGUUGGCUUCUUCUGUUUACAGAGUACAAAAACUAGAUACUAGAGUGACCUCUUAUUCAGUCCUAGCAUUUUUAGAUAUGGUGAUCCAAUAAGAUUGGAUCCCAAAAUUUGUAAUAAAUUCUCUUGAAAUACUUGUGUGAUUUCUUCUCUUCUGCUACUCAUACGCUUGUAC